AUGAUGCAAUAAACACGCUUGUUCAUAUAAACAGUGGCCUUUUAACUUCUAUGGAACAAGUUCCCAAGAAUGAACUAUUGGAUCAAAGAGCAUUUGUUUUUAAUGUUAAUAGGUCUUGCCAGAUUGCUUCCCCAAAGAAGCUCUAACAACCAACUACAUUAGGAAUGGAUGAGAGCCCUUCCCUGUUCCCACUCCCCACCUCCUGCCAAGGAGUACUUUCCUUUUCUUUCUUUGCCAACGUGAUAGUUACAUGGAAGAAGAUAUACAACAAAGGUACCGCACAUAGUAAAGAGGCUGGAAAGCAAAGCAUAGAGUUCCCAACCUCCCUUGCAGCUAGGAGUGGCAACGAAACCAAGCUCUGGCCGAUAAGAUGUAGACAGAAGUCUGAAGGGAGAUCCUCUCUUCCAGAAUAAAAAGGAAGUCUUUGGAGACACCUGUGACCUUCCCCUUCCCCUGACUUCAUUCAUGGAAUUGAGGCACGACACCUGGAGGUGCAGCGGUCAUCUUGAGACCACGAGGAGGACUGUGCUAAGGAAGGUGGAACAGAAAGAUAAAAGAAGCCUGGUUCUUGAGGAUAUACUCAAGCAGCCGCACAAACACUGGACUCCCUUCUUGUUUAUGAGAGGGGGAAAAUCUUAUUUAGACCACAGUUUGUUGAAUUUUAUGUUACUUUCAACCAAACACAUUUCUAAUAAAUAUUGAAUACCUCUAA